GCAAAUUGCAAUCCAAAAUUAAAUAUUAUGAGUCUGCCAGCAUGUGUCGACAAAAUAUUCUAGAUCAGCACUCUUAAUCUCAUUCUAACACAAUGUUAUGCGGGACAAAAAUACCGAGCACACAAUGAAAGACCUUGCCUUUGUUGAAGCUGCCUUUUUUAAAGGGAGGCCAGAAAGGAUAGAGAAACCCUGAGCACUCAAAAUACAACAAAAAAGAAGGAUGCCUGGUACAAUGUGCCUAUUGCAUGCCUGAGUAGAGCAUGCAACUCCUGAUUUCAGGGUCAUGAGUUGAGGCCCCAUGUAGGGCAUGGAGCCUCUUUAAAAAAAAAAAAAAAAAAGACAAAAGUACAACAAAAACAACAAUAAUAACAACAUUUAUUGAACACUCCCUGCACGUCAAGCACUGUGGUCCUCCUCCAUCAAGAUUUCAUCACUUUCAAGAAGCAGUAAAGCAUCUAGAAAAUCUCAGUACGACCUUGACCAUUGCUUCCGGCCUGGAUUUUUCUUCUACGUUGCUUCAUCUUUCCCAGAGUUAUGCAUUUAGCCCAACCUCCUGUGGGUGGCGCUCCUGCCUGAGUCUCCCCAGCCUGAAAGCAGGAUCCAAGGGCUGCUUCUUCGUCUGCCAGCAGUGCCCUGAAGAAACAACUUUCCCCACAGGCAAAGGCCAUGAUAUGGUGUGGUGGGAAGGGCAUCAGGCCUGCCAGACAAGAACUCCCCUGGCAGCCUUCCUGAGAUUCCAGCCAAGGAUCAUAAGUGUUGCUCUUUAAGAUAACUUUGUUUUCAGAAUCCGUAUCCUCCUAACUGCCAUUCCUACCUUUUUCUAUUGAAAUAAUUGUUUUCCUACGUGAUUAUUGAGAACUCAAGGUUUCUUAAGAUUUCAACAAUUGUGUUAUAGCAGAACAGAUGGUGAUCGGUAAACAAGAUUUUUGCGUUUCUUGUAA